rnacentral:misc_RNA from 1 species
UUUCAUCAUCGUCACGAAGUGAAUACUCAACUGAUAUAACCCGGUCCAUCAACGUGCUCAUGUUUGUUGCAUCCAAUGCUCUGGUUGCAUCCUCCUGUGACUCAAACUGGAUAAAAGCAAAAUUCUUUCUGAUUCUUACAUUCAGAAUCUUUCCAUGUGGCUCAAAGUGCUUCUCCAAAUCACUAGGCCUGGUAUUGGCUUGGUCAAAAUUUAUGACAAACAAGGUCUUCGUGGGCCUCGUGUUUGUCGAAGACCUUCUUGAACUACCAGACUGCCUACCACCUCGGUCUUGCUUGGUCCACUCAACACGAAGUCGACGCCUCCCAAAAUCUGUCCUGUCAAGUCCUCGAAUUGCAUCCUCA